CCUCCUAGCGCGCCGAUUGGGCGCGGGUGGGUGCGAGGCCCGGGCCGGGAGCCCAGCCUCCAACCCCCGAGAGGCUCCCCUUACUCCCGCCAGCUUACGGAGGGGAAAACUGAGGCGCACUGCAGGUUGCCAUGUUGUGAGCUGCCACGUUGGAGGGGCCCACGUGGAAAGGAACUGAAUGCUGCCAACGUGUACUGAGGGAGCUUGGAAGCUGGAUCCUUGCCCAGUCAUGCCUGCAGAUGGUUAUGUAUUCACCAAGGCCACCUGCCCACUGAGACCCAGGAUAAUACGGGCCAAAGGUGGCCCAUCAGCUCGGAAACCUGUCAUUCUGCGCAUGCCUGACAGACCACGGGGAUGGGAAGGAGUCAAGCGGACCCUGGUGGAAACCCACAGAUGUUUGCAGUUGAUGACAGACAUGUCAACAGAUGGAAUUAAAGAAUUUGCCAGCAGCUGUUGCCUGUUUACCAAAACUCCCUCAGUGAAGCUCACCUUCAGCUCAUGGAGGCGGCUGCUUGGGCCCCAAGUCAAGGAUGCCUGGCUCUGAUGGCCACUCACCUGCUGUGUGGCCCAGGGAAAGUCCCUUGGCCUCUCUGAGCUUCAGAUUCUGCAUGUGUGAAAGGGAGGUGGUAAUGCCUCCCUCCUAGGAUGGUGCCGAGGAUUCAAGAUGAUAACGUCUAGAGCCCUUGGCGUCGGGUCAGCACCAGGUAGAUGCCCAGUCUGUGGCAGCUGUUCUGAUUCUUUAACCUGUCUCGGCCUCCGUUUCCCCAUCUGUAAUCGGACAGGGUCUAUCUAGAUCAGUGGUUCUCAACGGGUGGGGGUGGUGAUUGUAACCCCGAAGACUUGGAUGGCUGUUGCCGCUGCAGGGUGGGGAGCGCUGCCGUUAUCUACUGGGUAGAAUGCAGAGGUGCUGCUGACACCCGACAGUGCAUGGGACAGCCCUCCCCAGCAGAGGGUUCUCCAGCCCCAGAUGUCACUAUGGCUGAUACCGAGAAACCCUGGACUAAGCUCAUCUCUACGUUUCCCUCCAGCUGUAGAAGAUGUUUGGGUUUGAUCUGCAUUGCCUCGUGCUGGGAAGGGGUCUGGGGUGUGCAGUCUUUUAACCUGGACUUGGCCUCAUAGAAUGGCCUUGGGCCUAGAACACUUCCUUACCAGGAACUAAAGAGACCCCUCAGCCUCAUCGCCUCGUGUGAGGAUGUCGUUCCUGUUUCAGACCCAGUGUGUGCCCCUUUGCCCUGCUUAAGUGUGCGUGUGCGUCACGUGGCACCUGGCCAACCCCACUGCUGUACCUGUCCGCUGUGGGGAGGGAAUGGGGUCCUUUGUUCUGCCACAGAGGAGGGGUGCGUGCAUCGGUUGCCAGGAGGGACCCGCUACUAUGGGGGGCCGUAUAUAUUUAUCGUUA